AUGUAUUUGUUAAAGUAUUUCUCAUGUCAAACAAUACAAAAACUACUAGUCCAAGAAAUUUCAUUGCCUCUACCACACCAGUAUAUGCAUCUAACAUCAAAGUCCAAGCUACGCCAAUAUAUACACAUCUUAUACUACAUCUCAACUACCGCGAGCUUAUUACAGAUACAAGGCUUAAGAAAAGAAGAAGCAAAAACAACUUGGCAUCGAACAGCAAACGAGGAGAGGGGCAAAGCAGGCACACAUAGUACCCCGCCGUCACAGCAUGAAGGCCAUGGAGUUAAGCCUGGACAGGCGGCUCCACAUGUCCUCUUCCCGCGAGGUGAUCACCAGCCUCGGCCGCAUCAUGGUCCGGCGAAGCUCCUGGAGCCUGGACAGGAGGAGGACGAUGCGCCGGCACGGGACGAAGACGAGGGUCAGCGGGAUGACCCAUAUGCCCAGCUCCACCACCAGCAUGCUCGCUCCGCCGCUGCUGCAAAAAAAUGGUGGGAGUGUGCUUUGCUCUCGCACCCACCGGGUCGCUAG
rnacentral:rRNA from 1 species